GCUGGCGGCGUGCUUAACACAUGCAAGUCGCACGAGAACGCUUCAGCUUGCUGUAGCUAGUAAAGUGGCGAACGGGUGCGUAACGCGUGGGUAAUCUACCUCUGAAUUGGGGAUAACAUUGCGAAAGCGAUGCUAAUACCGGAUAAUAUCUAAAAAUCCCCGGGUUUUUAGAUCAAAGAUGGCCUCUACAUGUAAGCUAUUGUUUGGAGAUGAGCCCGCGUACCAUUAGCUUGUUGGUAGGGUAAUGGCCUACCAAGGCAACGAUGGUUAGCUGGUCUGAGAGGAUGAUCAGCCACACUGGAACUGACACACGGUCCAGACUCCUACGGGAGGCAGCAGUGAGGAAUUUUGCGCAAUGGGGGAAACCCUGACGCAGCAACGCCGCGUGAGUGAUGAAGGCUUUCGGGUCGUAAAGCUCUGUCAAGUGGGAAGAAACUGAAAGAUGUUNAUACCAUCUUUCACUGACGGUACCACUGAAGGAAGCACCGGCU
rnacentral:rRNA from 1 species